rnacentral:rRNA from 1 species
CACGUAGGGUGCGAGCGUUGUCCGGAAUUAUUGGGCGUAAAGAGCUCGUAGGCGGUGUGUCGCGUCGGCCGUGAAAACCUGCAGCUUAACUGUGGGCUUGCGGUCGAUACGGGCAUCACUGGAGUUCGGCAGGGGAGACUGGAAUUCCUGGUGUAGCGGUGAAAUGCGCAGAUAUCAGGAGGAACACCGGUGGCGAAGGCGGGUCUCUGGGCCGAUACUGACGCUGAGGAGCGAAAGCGUGGGGAGCGAACAGGA